GUCCUGUUGUCCGAUUGAACCAUUACCGACACACCUAGGGGGUUCAAUGGAACAAGGCCUUGGAGGGCUAAUCUGAUUGCCUCAACUCUAGUAAAUUUAUGUGAAGAAGCCUUUCUUGAACUGACCAAACUCCUCUUAUCGCGCCUUGGGCAGAGAAAGCACCCCAUUCCUUGGUAGAAGCAUCUGUGGUCAAGGUUAACUUCCAGAAGGGGGCGAGGAAGUGGACUUGACCCUUCCAAUAUCUUGUUUAGCUCUUUUCUGACACUCAUGGGAAGGACCACCCUUAACCCCCACUGGCCACCUCGUCUCAGUUGGUUUCCUAGAAACAGCUGACUUCGUCUGCACAGCAAGGGGGAAGCAUCGUAACCCGGUGUUAAAGCUAUCAGCCUCCCAAUAGUCUUUGCUAUUUCUCUUAGGGACCAUCUGUGUUUUAAAGAGCUGAAGCUAUCUGAGCUAGGAUUUUUCCCCAUUUGUCUUGGGGAACACCCAAGGUCAUAUCCAUAGUGUUCAGCAUGAAACCCAAAAAUAGGAUAUUCUGAGUAGGGACUGGGAUGGAUUUUUGCAGAUCUACAAUAAACCUCAGAUCCUGUAAUAAGGAAAUUAGGUAAUCUCUCUGGUGAACGAUAGCAUCUACCUCUGGAUUCAACAACAGGAUGUCGUCUAAGUAAUAAAGGCAUAGAAAUCCUCUUUGCCUGACGUGGGAUAUAAUAGCUUUCAUUAUCCUGGAAAAUGUGUAAGGUGCGUUGGAAAGGCCAAACACGAUUACAGUCCAGUGAUAUAUGUGUUCCUUCCAGUGGAAUCUGAGAAAGUGCCUGUGUUUCAUAGCUAUAUGGAAUGGAAAUCAUCUGCACUAGGCCUGGGAGGUCUGUUAAACCUUCCAUCCUGAAUCUUUUCCUCUUUAGGAAAGCAUUCAAAGCCUUGACGUUUAGUAAUGGUCUUCACGUGCCGUCUGAUUUUGGAAUAGUGAACAAGGGACCGAUCCAACCUGAAAUUGACAAAUCUGCCAAUUCUAUUUUUCCCUGAGCUAAUGCCUGGGAAAGAGAGGAAUCUAGAACGGGAUUUACCUCCGCCCAGAGCUUGACUCUGGAAAGGAAACUGAAUGAGAGGGAGUUGUAAAC